CAGAAGCCAAAGUGGGUUUUUGCGCUGAGGAACAAGUUUUGCUUCCCAUCCAUAAAGAUGAGCUGCUGUAGAUGUUGUGGUGGUCGGGGCUGCGGCUGUUGCUGUGGAAGAGCCAGGCCAAGGGUGGUCUACUACGUAGGGAGACCUGCCGUUCCUUGCUGUGGAUAUCGCCGGUACACCUACGUCCCCUGCUACGUCCCGACGCGAAGCUGCUGUGCUCCAGCCCGCUCUUGCUGCUACAUUCAACAGUGUUAUGGCCAAGUGAAGAAAUGCUGAGGAAACUCCACUUGUGAACCAGGUCGCCGGCAAGAUUCCGAACCAACUGCUGGGAGAGCGAUAGCAUCACCGCUCCGUGCUGGAAACUUGCCUGUUUACCUCUUGCAAAAUAAAACGCUUGGAGCUCUA